AGUUGGGCCUGCUCGGUGAUUAAUAUUUAACAGCUGCGGUAUUAUAACUGUACUAAGGUAGCAUAAUAAUUUGCCUUAUAAAUUGAGGCUAGAAUGAAUGGUUUGACGAAAAUUAUACUGUCUCUAUUUUAUUCAUUAGAAGUUAAUUUUUAUAGUGAGAAAGCUUGAAUAAUUUAAAGGGACGAAAAGACCCUAUUGAGCUUUAUAUUAUAUUUUAAAUUUGAUUUUUUAUUUAUUUAAUUAUAUAUAAUUUUGGUUGGGGUGAUCAAGGAAUAAAAUGUAUUUUAUGUUAACUUCCUUAAAUGGUGAUAUUUAUAAAUGAAUAAACCAAAUUUUUUGCUUAGAAGAUAAGUACCAUAGGGAUAACAGCGUAAUUUUUUUUGAAAGUUCAUAUUGAAAAAAGAGAUUGCGACCUCGAUGUUGGAUUAAAAUAACCUUAAGGUGAAGAGGCUUUAAUUGGUAAAUCUGUUCGAUUUUUAAAAUUUUACGUGAUCUGAUUCCAGACCGGAG
rnacentral:rRNA from 1 species